CAUUCGUUCCCUAAAUAGGGACUUGUAUGAAUGGCCACACGAGGGCUUUACUGUCUCUUACUUCCGAUCCGUGAAAUUGACCUUCCCGUGAAGAGGCGGGAAUAUGACAAUAAGACGAGAAGACCCUAUGGAGCUUUAAUUAACCGACCCAAAGAGAUCUUAACAACUAACCGAUAGGGACAACAAACCUCUACCAUGGGUCGACAAUUUAGGUUGGGGUGACCUCGGAGAAUAAAACAACCUCCGAGUGAUUUAAAUCUAGACUAACCAGUCGAAAGUACUACAUCACUUAUUGAUCCAAAAACUUGAUCAACGGAACAAGUUACCCUAGGGAUAACAGCGCAAUCCUAUUUUAGAGUCCAUAUCGACAAUAGGGUUUACGACCUCGAUGUUGGAUCAGGACAUCCCGAUGGUGCAGCAGCUAUCAAAGGUUCGUUUGUUCAACGAUUAAAGUCCU
rnacentral:rRNA from 1 species